AAGCCGGUCUCAGUUCGGAUCGGGGUCUGCAACUCGACCCCGUGAAGUCGGAGUCGCUAGUAAUCGCAGAUCAGCAACGCUGCGGUGAAUACGUUCCCGGGCCUUGUACACACCGCCCGUCGCGUCAUGAAAGUCGGUAACACCCGAAGCCAGUGGCCUAACCCUCGGGAGGGAGCUGUCGAAGGUGGGAUCGGCGAUUGGGACGAAGUCGUAACAAGGUAGCCGUACCGGAA
rnacentral:rRNA from 1 species